GCUGGGGUUUCAUUCUUCGUUUUCACCCUGGGAGUCGGCAGUGAGGGUGCACCCAUCCGCACCGCAGUGCCCACCUCGCAGCCCAGUGCCACUUCUCCGCUUUCUGCCUUCUGAUGGGUCGCUGGCCCACCUCCUUUGGACGUGGGAUGGGUUUUGGUGAGCAGGGCCACACCUGAAGCAUCCCAGCAGCCUGCUGCCGCUUGGCCCUGCGCCCUGCUGGUGUCAGUGUCACUGUCAGCCCAAACCUUCCUCCCAAAUCCAGAAGGACGGUGCCUGCUGGUGCUCUCAUCGCUUGUGGGGCGGUGCGGCGCUGCAGGCAGGGAGCAGAGCGUGGCUCCCAGGUCCCUCCUGCUGCUGGUGGCGGUCCCUUUGCAGAGAGCUGACUGCGAGUUCGUGGAGCGGGAUGCCUUGGGAAGGGAUGGGACAUCUCCACCUGAGCGAGGAGAGGCCCCUGGAGCAGAACGGAGGUGUAAUGCUGAGGAGCUGCAGGGCAGAGCACAGCUUUGGUCACUUUGGAGUUGGAGAUCUUGAGCCGGGGAGGAGAUCCCAGUGAGGGGAGAAGGGAUGUCCCCAGCCUGACAGCUCCUUCCUGGCUGCGCUCUGCCCGCUCUCUGCCCGAUGUCUCCGGGAUUCUCCAGGAGGGACCCAACCUGCCGUGGCCCCAGCAAGAGGCAGCAUUGGCUGCUGGACGUGGAGGGGUUCUGCAUUGCUUCGCACCUGUGGGGAGGGAGCCAGGGGAUGGGGAGCCUGGCAAAAAUCCCGUGUAACUCCUGUAUGUCACCUCCAGGACCCAAAUACCCCUGGGCAGAGAGGUGUGAGCACCGUCCCAGCUGGGUGUGGGGAUGUUGGUGGGAGCAGGAGGGAGGUCUGAGCGGGAUGGAUGCCAUGUUAAGGGGCUCUGCUCAUGGAGCAGAGCUUGGCCUACGCUGUGCGUGCGUGCGUGAUGGACUGAGCGUGGGCUGACCACGCCUGGUCCAGGCGGUGUUCCAUUGCACUGUAAGAAAAAUGCACUGUAAUUCCCCCCUAAUUAAAAUCAACCCCACCCCGUGCACUGUUGCAAAUAAACACUCCUUUCU
rnacentral:lncRNA from 7 species